GUUUCAUCUGGAUUUGUUUUAACUCCGAAUCUUGCUCAAUUGUCUCCAUUUAGCUGUUCUUCCUGUUCUGGAUUGGAUGAAGGCAUCAGAUCGAAAUAUUGGAGGAUUGCACUGUUGCCGAUCACUGCCACUCCAACUCUUGAAGCUGUGGAGGUCACGGGUGUGAAGGAAUUCUUGGUGGUUGUGUGCAGAGAUUGGUAGAGGGCUGUUGAGCUACUGGGUUUGUUGCCAUACCUCAAGGACUUGGAUUCGGGACGAGCGUCUCGACACGGGAUUACU